ACGCUCAGUGGAAUAAAACGUGAAGAGGAAAAAGAGAAACCGUGACUUCUCGAUGCUUCUGAUCUUACACUAUAAAUCACCUACUUCCCUAAACCCUGGCAUUUCCAAAUAACCCAACUUCUCAAUAUCAUUCUGCUGCUUUGAAGUUUGUUCUCAAAUUUCAAGGUCGAUCUUAAGCAAACAACUUCUAAUCCAAGCUCAAUCAGAUAAACCCCAAUUUCUUUUACACGAAUUAUUAUUUCUCAUCUGUCAAUUUCGUUCGGUUCUGUUAGGGUGUAAUUCGGUGAUGGUUUUCUUUUCUUCUAAAAUUUCCUCCUUUUUUUUUUUUUUUUUGGUUUGUGUUUUGGUUCCAGGAUCUUGUCUAGAGCUAUUUAUCCAUCUAAUUUUGUUUGGCUGUUGGAGAAUUGGGAAUGUCUCAUAUCCUUCUGAUAUGUUUCUUUUCUCUGAUUUUCUUCAUGCUAAUCUUCAUCGGUUUUUUCUUUCCCUUUUCAUAAACAAGGUUCUUUCUUUUUUCAUUUGUUUGGUCGCUUAGAUUUUAGUUAUUUUGGGUUGUUUGCCUAAAAUUGGGUAAGGGCGGAUUUAGGAGGGCGGAAAGUGAUUUACUCUGAUACUGCCGUCGAAAAAUUACACUUUACAUAUAAGGCAAAAUCUAUUUUAUGACUUUAUAUAUUUUAUUUUGAAUCUCCUUCAUAUUGUCCAAAAGCAUAGCUCGGGUUCAAAACCUUUGUAAGAGAUCCUUGGUUCAAUUCUGGCCACAUUCUUUUUUAAUUUUUUAACUUUUCUAUUUUGAACCCCUUAGCAAAAAUUCUGCCUCCGCCGCCGGGUAAGAGUACAACAAUAACAAACCCCGUGUAAUCCCAUAAGGGGUACGAGGAGGAUAGUGCGUGCGCAACCUUACUAUUAUCUCAAGAUAGAACUUUUUCUGGGCUAACGCGGGAACCAGAGAGAUAGAUAUCGUGAAAGGGCUCAAGCCAGGGAAAAUCACAAGACCAAGCAACCUAAGAAUGAUGGAUUAACUCCUGAACAAAGACGAGAAAGGGAUGCAAAGGCACUUCAAGAAAAGGCGGCAAGGAAAGCAGCACAGGCGGCGGGUGGAGGGAAUUUCGAGAAAUCGGAAAGUUAUAACAUCAAGAAGAAAUAGUAGGGAGCUUGUUUAAGUAGAUUAGGUGAAGGGAAUUAAUCUUGUGGGUGAAUCUGGCAUUUGUUAUGGAUUCUUGAGGUCAUUGUUUAUCAUGUCAUUUCAAGUGUCUGAAACUUUUUAUUCUCAGUAGUUGUUGUCUGGCAUGUAUGUUUGGCUUUUGGACCUUUAACUUGUGUCUGAUCUUCAAUGAGAAUUCCUAUUGUGAUUAAUCUUA